rnacentral:rRNA from 1 species
AACCCUGACGCAGCAACGCCGCGUGAGUGAUGAAGGUUUUCGGAUCGUAAAACUCUGUCUUUAGGGACGAUAAUGACGGUACCUAAGGAGGAAGCCCCGGCUAACUACGUGCCAGCAGCCGCGGUAAUACGUAGGUGGCAAGCGUUGUCCGGAUUUACUGGGCGUAAAGAGUAUGUAGGUGGGUGCUUAAGUCAGAUGUG